rnacentral:lncRNA from 1 species
GUAGAAUCUUACCGUGAGAGACAGUUUAGAUAGAUAAAAACACAAAGAAAGAGAGAAAGUACAAUAGAUACAGAAACACAAGAACACAAAGACUGCAAGUAGUGCAGGAAGGGGGUGGCAGAAUGCACAAAACCAAUACAAAUGAAUGAAAAUUCUGACAAUAGGAUUCCCACUCUUGUUCCUUCCAAACACUCCAUACGAUAAAGCUUCCCAUUACCAUUUUUAAUCCACUGUUUUUCUCUUUCUCUUCUUAAUCUUUUACCAAUUUCUACAUACAAGGAAAUCCACCCAACCAAAUUCAUCCAACAAUUCUGCUCUCAAUUGUACUACUCUUCCUUUUUUGACUCUCAUUUCUUCUCACCACAUGCAUAAAGUGUUCUUUGUUUAAGGAAAAUGUUUUGUAUAUUGUUUAAUAUAAGCAUUGUACGUUCAAUCAUGUCUGUGCGACACAGCUUAUAGUUUAGGGUUUAGAGUUUUAAGGUUUAGUCUAAGCAUAGUACAUUUAGUUCUUAUUUUUGACAAUCAAAGUAAUCCAUGUGGAAUGAAA